ACUUAAAUAGCUUAUAGUUAGAGCAUAAUUUUGAAGAAAUUAAGGAAAUUUAAAAUUUUUAAGUA
rnacentral:tRNA from 2 species